AAACCCAGAAAUGCAUCAAAAAUACUGAGAAAACCUUUCUGCAGUACUACACACACAGCAGACAGAAAUACCACCUGAAUUUCUGCUACCUAGAACCAAACACAUUCUUGAUGCCAUGACUUGGAAGAAACAAAAGCAUUAUGUCCUUCGCUGAAAUCUUAAGUGUUAUUUUAAAUAAUCCAAAUGUUAUUUCCUUGAUUACUUUCAUCUGAUCAGCAGGGUUUUCAAUGAUACAUCUAGUCUGACUGCCAUCUCUUGGUCUUCAUUGAUUUCGUAGGAACCUGGGAAUGCGCUCACUUUGUAUAUGACCUUGACCAUAUUUUCUAUAAACUCAUGGAUGAAGGCAUGUUUUAAGAUUAUGCAAGAGAUCCAGGAAUGCAAGAGAACAUUAGAAACAGCUUUGCAGCUGAGACGAGGAGGCCACAUGAAGCACGCAGAUGCUACCCAUCUUCGUACCAACUCCUCAAAUGCCUCUAGGGGAACAAGCAAAGGAUUCCAACCUAUCUAGUGGGAAUCAGUUGAAUAUGAUUAUUGGUAUGAAAAAAGCAGAAAGCUGUAAUCUGUAGCAAUCCAACUCAUCUUAUUUUAUGAUACUACUACCUACACAAAGUUAGAACAAUACCUCUGCUAGUGUACCAAUCUUGGAAUGUUUCAAAUGGAACUGUGCUCUUUCUUACAAAACAAUCAUCUUUACUGAUAGUCACAUUGCCACUUUAUGAUCAAGCUUUAUUAAAAGGAUAUUGUGCAAAAAAUAUAUCUAAACAUUAAAGCCACAGCACACCUGAUAACUCUUGUUUUACAAAUGAGAGCACAGCCAAGUAGACUUGACAGUCUGCUACAAUUAUUUGUCUUUGUAGACGAUCUAUCAUGGAUAGAGUAGAUUUUCGUCCAUCAACCUGUUUGGAAUAUACAAACAGAGAACACAGAAAAAUGUUAACAAAAAUAAUACAGAAUACUAGUCUAAAUCUGACAACUUAAAAAAAAAUCCAAAAUUAACUGCAAGUGGUAGUAUUGCUACUAAAUUGACUCAGCAUUUUGAAGUGCAAAACUAUGCUAAAAUUUCUUUGACAGGUCAUCAAGUAACAUCCUACUAAAUAAACAGGGAAAUCUUACACAUAUACUAUCAACUGUUUUUCUUAAGAUUCUACAAAUACUCAGAACAGAUUUAAAUUUCAUUUAAUUACUACUAAACACAUCAGACAUACAACUAAAAGAUGUUAGAUAGGAAGAGCCCAGACAGAGGUAUAUGAAAAGUGGCAGGGAAGAUACAGUGCCUCUGAAGAGCAGAGAGUUAAGUAUGUUAGAUUCAAUACUUUUCACCAAGUAAACUAAAUAUUGAAGAGAAAUGGCUGCUUCUUCUGCUGUAGAUCUGCUACGUCACACUAGGCACGUCACUCACUGGACAUUUCUAUACUACUACUUUAACUAGUUCUCAAUCCGCAUGCUUUAUUCUUCCUUCAUUAUUUAGAAUGAAACACCUAGGACAGGAAGGAAAAUUCCCUAGGAAUACCUGGCACACAGCACUAUGCAGCCUCAACAUCACAACUUUUGAAUAUUAUGAGAGCAUGUAUGAAUUAAAGUUAGCUUGAAUUAGACAGGCUACAAGCUUCCUGAAAUAAUUUUAGUAGAUCACUAAUUUGAGGCCUUAAGAAAAUAAUUACUAACAUCAAUACAACCUGCUGCUUUAGAAGAGGAAUUACCUGACUCUUGAGUAUUUUAUAAUUAGGAAGUCCAAGCAGAACUUUUGACUUAAUUUCUAAACUUAUUAUUAAUCUCAACUGCUCUUCACACAUGAAAAAUCACCUAUUCAAAACACAAAGGUGACAGAAAGGAAGUUUCCAGAAAUAUUUAUCGAAUAUACAAUUCCAUAUUUUACAAAUAAUUUUCUUACAUUCUUUUUAAUUUUAUUCUUGAUUGUUUCUAUAACUCCAGCUUCUUCACUUUCACAAAGUUUCUCUGUAGCCUUUAAGUCAUCACACGCCAGCUGCAUUUUCUCUUCUUCAAAUGUCAUCAUGGCAUUC